rnacentral:lncRNA from 1 species
CCCACGGCUACAAAACAAGUGAGAAGAGGUGGGAGAAAGAGAAACUACGCCACCUCCUCUGCAGCCGAGCGCACGCAGCAGCCUGGUGUGACAAGUGGGCGACGCCGGGGGCAGGGAGUGGGGGUCCUCCGCCCGCUCCGGGGACCUUGUCGCCCACCGUGCGCAGAGCAACUUUUAACCGGCAGCCCCGCACCUGUCUCAGAGAGUCCCCAUCGCUCCCCACCAACCACCAUGGGAAAAUUCUAGAAGAAUACGCUCUCAGAAUCUACGUGCGCAUCAUUUUCCUCCUCGCUCCAGAGGAAGGAACCAGAAAAGAGGGCAAAGCGGUGUAGUGUUCAGCCUCAAGAACCACCGUGCAUCCCUGGGAUGGUGCCCUCUACAGGAGGAUCUUUGCCUCACUUUUGGGAAUCUCUUAACUGCAUCUCGUUGAUUCUUAGGGUUAGAAGAAUUGCACUAACAGGAGUCUGCAACCUCUCUGCCCUGCUGAUGCACCCAGGCAGGGCUCACUGAUUUGCAGGAGUACAUGACCACAGAUCAGAGCCACUGGCUGCACAGAUACCUGACUGGGCGCUCAGGAAGACUCAGGCAGAGAUGGGGAGUCGGCCUGCAAGCUGGGAUGCUAGAGCUCAUAUGCAGUUCUCCAUUUAGCUAGGAGGUUUCCAGGGCAACCACUGAAGCAGUAAUUAAAGAUCAAGAGCUAAAAG